rnacentral:rRNA from 1 species
CCUACGGGUGGCAGCAGUGGGGAAUAUUGGACAAUGGGCGAAAGCCUGAUCCAGCCAUGCCGCGUGUGUGAAGAAGGCCUUCGGGUUGUAAAGCACUUUCAGUGGGGAAGAAAGCCUUGGGGCUAAUACCCUCGAGGAAGGACAUCACCCACAGAAGAAGCACCGGCUAACUCCGUGCCAGCAGCCGCGGUAAUACGGAGGGUGCGAGCGUUAAUCGGAAUUACUGGGCGUAAAGCGCGCGUAGGCGGUCUGAUAAGCCGGUUGUGAAAGCCCCGGGCUCAACCUGGGAACGGCAUCCGGAACGGUCAGGCUAGAGUGCAGGAGAGGAAGGUAGAAUUCCCGGUGUAGCGGUGAAAUGCGUAGAGAUCGGGAGGAAUACCAGUGGCGAAGGCGGCCUUCUGGACUGACACUGACGCUGAGGUGCGAAAGCGUGGGUAGCAAACAGGAUUAGAUACCCUGGUAGUC